rnacentral:lncRNA from 1 species
CUUAUUGGCCUUACCUCAUCUCAAGAACUUGCCAGAUACAAAAGGUGACAAUAGACCUGCGUUGGGAUGGAACUAAAUUUGAGGACAAACAGUUGAGAAGAAUUCUAUGGAAAGCUGAGAAAAUGAACAGAGCUGUUUGACAGACUGAAACCCAUACCAGCACUAUUGAGCAAUGUCUUGAACGUUCUCAGCCUCAUCGGACUCAACUGCCUUUUCUCCAGAGAUAACUCACGAGCCCCAUUCAACCCGCUGAGUGGCGGGUAUAGGGUGUCA